AUUGAACGCUGGCGGAAUGCUUUACACAUGCAAGUCGAACGGCAGCACGGACUUCGGUCUGGUGGCGAGUGGCGAACGGGUGAGUAAUACAUCGGAACGUGCCCAAUCGUGGGGGAUAACGUAGCGAAAGCUACGCUAAUACCGCAUACGAUCUAAGGAUGAAAGCGGGGGAUCGCAAGACCUCGCGCGAUUGGAGCGGCCGAUGGCAGAUUAGGUAGUUGGUAGGGUAAAAGCCUACCAAGCCGACGAUCUGUAGCUGGUCUGAGAGGAUGAUCAGCCACACUGGGACUGAGACACGGCCCAGACUCCUACGGGAGGCAGCAGUGGGGAAUUUUGGACAAUGGACGCAAGUCUGUUCCAGCCAUUACGCGUGCAGGAUGAAGGCCCUCGGGUUGUAAACUGCUUUUGUACAGAACGAAAAGGCUCUGGUUAAUACCUAGGGCUCAUGGCGGUACUGUAAGAAUAAGCACCGGCUAACUACGUGCCAGCCGCCGCUGUAA
rnacentral:rRNA from 1 species